GAGAGAAAAGGAUGGCAGAUUCCAUAGCAAAAGAUGUAAGUUGGAUCCUUUCCAGCUUAAGAGACUGCUCAAAGUCAUUGCCAUGUAGAACAUGUUAAAGUAACCCAUUCUGGAUGCAACUAAGGCAUGUAUUAUCAUGGACAACUAUGCCUUUUUGAGGAAUGCACAUAGCUGACACAUCAGCUGAAACAGGGCAAAAGCAGCAGUGGACAUCCAGAUGUCGGGUUCAGGAGUACAGUGGUACCUCGGGUUAAGUACUUAAUUCAUUCCGGAGGUCUGUUCUUAACCUGAAACUGUUCUUAACCUGAAGCACCACUUUAGCUAAUGGGGCCUCCUGUUGCUGCUGCGCCGUUGGAGCACAAUUUCUGUUCUCAUCCUGAAGCAAAGUUCUUAACCCGAGGUAAUAUUUCUGGGUUAGCAGAGUCUGUAACCUGAAGUGUAUGUAACCUGAAGUGUAUGUAACUCGAGGUACCACUGUAUUCAGAAGCAACAAAGCUGAUUUUUUAAAUCAACGAUAUGACUAUGCCAGGCCAAACCAGUUGCAGUACUGUUUCUGCAUCAGACCCCCCGCCCCAAUCUCAGUGUUGUCUAGAUUGAGCUUCAGUUUAUUAGUGCUCAUCAAAUCCCUUGUAACCUCCAAGCACCGAUUGAGAACAUCAACGGUUUUCCUGGAAUCAGAUGGAAAGGACAAAGCAAUGAGUCACCCACAUUCUAGACACUUUAUAGACCCUUAGAAGCACGUACGGAAUGAACCGAGUGAUCCGCAGUGUAAAUACCCUUGUGUUUUUCAAGGUUCAGCAUGAGGAAAUCCAGUAUCAAAAAGAAUUUAAUUAAAAUAAACACCUGAAGGGCCCAGUGCAGUCUCUGAGUCUUGUCUUAAUGAACUUGGACAAAGCUGCACAAAAUAGAAUAACAAGGCUGAAAAUAGCUAUACAAAUUUAAUAUUCCGCCCUCUUCCCCACUAGUUUACAUAAGAAGCUGGAUGACUGCUGGGGUCAUGCAAAGCAGAUGUUAUCAGAGGUUCUCUGAGGGUGGGAAACAUGGCAAGGGUCACAUUUGAACCCAUGCCCUUAAAAUGGAUUGUUAUCUGAAAACUGCCAACUACAGAAUUGAUAGGAAGAUUUGAGAGACAGCUAACUUAUUCUUCAAGCUGAAGGCUUGAGAUUUAUACACAGACAUAUGCAUGCUUAUACAACAAAAAAGGACUACCAUUAUCUCCUGUCAAAUAAAAUCUCCUGGCAAAUCACUAAGGCCGAUGGAAAGUUGACACUUAUCACAAUAUAAUAUAGGAGAAGAGAUAUCAAGGUCAUCAAAUCCAAAUGUUUGUUUCAAGGCUUCCCCACUUAACCAGGGUUUACAGUUGUAAAUGGGGAUGAUAGCACUCUUAGUUUCUGUGGUGUGUCCACAUUAAUUUAUUUUGUACUGCUGUGAAAUCUGGUCAAUCAUGUGUUGCAAGUUUUUGUUGCAAUGUGAAUUCUGAAAAAGCUGUGAACAGAGACAAUGCAGUACCUCGGGUUACUGACACUUCAGGUUACAGACACUUCAGGUUACAGACUCUGCUAACCCAGAAAUAGUACCUCGGGUUAAGAACUUUGCUUCAGGAUGAGAACAGAAAUCGUGCGGUGGCAGCGGGAGGCCCCAUUAGCUAAAGUGGCACCUCAGGUUAAGAACAGUUUCAGGUUAAGAACGGACCUCCAGAACGAAUUAAGUUCAUAACCCGAGGUACCACUGUAGUGAGCUUAAUGUACACAGCAAAGCAAAAAAAAUUAAAAUGUCUUUCAUAUCAAUUUUGGCUCUAUGUCUCUAGCACUACAUAAAUUCUAAACACAGAGAGCAGCAAGAUAGUUUGCAAUACAAACUGUAUACAGAGUGUUUAUAAAUUAUCCUAAAGUUCUGCAUGCCAGGAAACCAACCAGACAACACUCUUUUGACGAAUCAUUUGCUUAUUAAUGAUAGACAGUGCUAGAUCAACUGGUGAGGCUGAUGACCACCUUGUUUGUUACAGAAACUGUACAUUUAUACUUCUUGCCUCUGCAAUAACCACCAUAACAGAGAGAGGAAGAAUGUGUAUCUGAAAGCGUGAUAAGCACAUGCCAGGGAGCAGCGAUUACCAUUAAGGAUGUUGGGCUUGUAUUUACUAUACGUUUUCAGACAUUUGCUUCCUCUCUACAUGUUAAUAAUGUAUGAUGUGGAGACAAGCAGUGGGCAAACGGGAAAUUGUUUUUCCUUAAUUAUGGAUUGCACCACAAGGGUGAAGAGUUAUUAGAAUGGCCAUUUUUUUUCCUUUUUGGGGGCGGGGGCGGGGAAGGCCAAAUAGGUAAUUGCUGACAGAAUAGAUGUGGAAACCUUGCCUUUGUGUGAGUGUGAGGGGUGAUUUAUUUAUUUAUUUAAUGCGUUCAUGCCCUAUAUUUCUCUCCAAUCAAGAUCUGUUGAGGGGGCAGCGCAAUGAGAAGGAUAGAGAUGUAUGGAUGAAGUGAUAUAGACAAAGUGAUAUAUAAAAGUUGACUGCUGGAAUUUAAUCUUUCAAGACUGCUUUAUUUUGUUGUUGUUACUGAGACACAGAUCUCUUAAUAGGGAGCAGUCUUGUCCAAAUCUAUCAACACAAGCAACGACUUUAGAGUUAUUUUAGCAUUUUUAAAAAAAUUAUGUAGUAAAUCAUAGCUAAGGUCUUUGAACUAUUUUUUAUUUUUGGACAGAUUGUGAGUAAAGAAAAGGGGAAAAAACAACAACCCAACAUUCUGGCUUUGCAGAAUGUCUUGAGCUCUGUAGUUGCAUACUCAGCAAUUCUGCUCUGUUUAUAAAUAAUGCCAUAAAGACCUGAGCUCUUAUGAGGUGGUGGACACAUCCAGAAGAUUCAUAUGACUUAUCUUAAUAAUUUCAAAAGACGUUUCGUAACAACAGUUUCAUAUUUUCAAUCAGGGGAUACUUUAAAUGUUGGGACUGGAGUAGGGUAUGUUGAUAGGGUUUUUCUUCAUCAGUUCCUUUUUGAGCCAAACUGCAUUUUGUGCAGGAAAAGCACAAUCAGAAUCCUUCCUUUUUCUUUUUCUUUUUACCAAAAUGCAGCUGCAAGAGGGCAGCCAGUUUCUUUAGACUGUUUAACCAUUCCCCAGUGCCGUAUUCUUGAUCAGAAUGGUCCCUGAAGCUAUUGCAUACCCCAACUGAGAAGAUACAGAUACCUGUAUAAUCAGAUUUCCCAUGUAAUGUGCUGAAAGCUGCUGUAUUUAUCAGUCAGUUGCUUGGGAAAGGAAGAAAAGAUAUAUUAUAUACAGUCAUUGUCAGGCAUUUUGGGCCAGGUAGGUAAGUGAAAACAGAUGUGGAUUCAUCGUAGAUUCUAGCAGGUGCACCUGGGGCCCUCACAUGAGACCCUAGAAGAUCCUGUUGACAACACAAAAUUCUCUACUUCUUCAGAUUACUGCUUUCUUCUUCUUCAGGUUACUGCUGUUUUUUAAAAAAAUUAGCCAACAAUAUGAGCCAAAGAAAGGACAAUUAUGUAAGAUAUUGGCAUUACGAGAGGUGUUCAACAUUAAUGGUAUGUAACAAAAUACAACAAAGGCUCUAACUAAGUGUCUGUAGCCACAAAGAUUCAAAACAUAAUGCUCUUAGCAAAGAAAAAGAGUCCUUGUGUCUAUAGUCAACUGUGCAUGUCAAUGUACAGCUCAAAACAUCUGUGACAAAUGCACUGUUUUAAUCAGUGCUGGCUCUGGAAAGCCUAGAUUCUCAGUCACCAAUGUACUGAUCCAAUCUACUGUGGGUUCUUGAAGAUGUAUAAUCUCAGGCUGAUUCCAUCGGGAGGCUGGUCCAACAGCAUAUUAUGGUUCAUCUUUUUUCAUUAAAUGCAUUAUCUCUGGUGGUCAUCAGUAAAAUGAUUUAGUCAUGUCAUCAGUGCUCAGUUUACUGAGGUUUCUUUCUGCUAACCACUGGGAGUUAGCGGUUUACUUUCUUUGGCUCUUCCUGAGCCAAAGAGUGACUGAACUAUUAAGUGGUACUUUCCCUCAUUGAAUUAACCUUUAUACCUCCGGUUAAUUCAUCCUUUCAGAGGACACACAUUUAGUAAAUCCAGACUUCUCCAUCUGGAUAGGCAGCUGCAGUCUAUACCUAGCCCACCAAGUCUUUCCGACCUACAAAAACCCUCCCAGUAUCGCCUCGAAUCUCCACUUGGCAGCAGGCUGGGGGGACCUGGAAACACAAUCCCUUUGUUAACCAUUAUUUGUAUUCUGGGGACUUUAUCAGACUUAGUUUGCAACUGUCUGCACACUUAUUCAGAAGCAAGUCCCACUGAAUUCAGAGAGACUUUCUUCAAAGUAGUCUUACAUUGGAUCAGGCUGCUGUUGAAAUAGUGGAGUUAAUGUUCAGUGUUUAACCACUGCUUGGAAAACCAGGUACAGUGUUUUCCUCCCCAGUCUAACUUCUGAGCUAGAUGCUAUCUUGUUAUUCAAACUCACAGAUAGCAGCGUACACAAGAAAAGGCAAGUUGCAAAGGGGAGGGGGGGAUUGAAUAGCAUGCAUUGCACAAUAAUGUUCCCAUUUUUGUUUUUUCUUGGUCACUGGUUAUGAAAUCCUUCACAUUUGCAUCUGCAAAAAUAUUUCAGUUACAGCUGCUAGCUGCGUAUUUCAGGUAAAAGCGGUAUGCAUAGAUAUCUUUGCAAGUCAGUUGUGAGGCAAUCUCACACAGCCCAGAUGGAACAGCUAAAGCUCAUUGAAGUCAACAGGACAAUUCAUAAAUUUGCAUAGGUGCACCUUCAGGAUGGAAGAUCCGUCAGAUUUAGGAUAUUUGACAGACGUGUAUUAUGUCUCCAAAUAAUAAUAGUUGCUCAGGCUGGAUAGAGGUUAUCCUCUCUGAUGACUCAUUGACUUCUCAAGCAUGGUAUUCUGGAUAUCCCUCUUUAAAUGUAAACAGAACCAUUCAGCCUGCCUUACUCUCAUGAAGAUUUGGGAUGAAUACCUGAUAUUAUUUCAGUUUGAUCCUGUUGAUGUUUCCAUAUCUAAGCUCCAGAACAGUGGUUCUCAAACCUUUUUCUCCAUGGACCACUUGAGAAUUGCUGUGGGUCGGACUUCCGGGGUGGCGCCAUCGGUAAUGGCGGACUCCCUCUGAUCCGGAGGGACUGGCUCCACGGAAAUCGGGUCUGUUCCGCUACGGCGAAGCGGGGACCCUUUAAAAAAUCACAGGCGGGUGAAGCCUGUGACCGUGGGACUCGGCGGGCACCUUUCGCGCCCCCCCAAUUUGCAAAGGAACCCAGUUACGGGCUCCAGAGCGAAGCGGGGCAAGCGGCGCGGUGCUGAGAGUCAACUGCUUCUUCUGUGGAGCGAAGCCGCACAGCCGUUGCCGGAGAGCGCUGCCUUUUUCCUGGGACAAUCUGGCUACAAAAAUAACUAUCCGUGAGUAGGAUAAAUUUGGACAAUUGGACUCUAAACAACGACCCAUGAGUAGAACGGAAAAUUGGACUAAGAAAUUCCCUUUAAUUUGGCACCAAAGUGGGAAGGUCUAAACAGGAAGUCAGCCUUCCGCUUUUUGUAGAAAGAUUAAAGCAAAGACAUGGCAAGCUAGAGUUUAGAAAAUCGUUUGUAAAGGAUCAACUUUCAUCAUCUAAAUCUACUAACCCCCUUUGGAAGCAGGAGAAGAGGGGAGAUUUUUUCUGGACUGUUUAAACCUGCAGAAGAGUGUGUAAAGAAAAGCAAUUUUCCACCGUCUUGAACCUGGGAGCGGGGUGUCAGAACAGACGUUUUCGGAGUUCAUUGACUAUAGCAAACAUUUUUGACAGACAGUUAAAAGAAGAGAAACAUAGUGAUUCCAUUGUUCUCCUUCGCAGUU